GACGAACGCUGGCGGCGUGCUUAACACAUGCAAGUCGAACGGAGUGGCGAACGGGUGAGUAACACGCGGGUGACCUGCCUUGCACUUCGGGAUACGCAUGGGAAACUGGGUCUAAUACCGGAUAGUGCAAGAUGAGCCCGCGUCCAGACGGCUUGGUGGGGUGGUAAUGGCGUGUCAAGGCGUCGACGGGUAGCCGGCCUGAGAGGGUGUACGGCCACAUUGGGACUACGAUACGGGCCAGACCCCGACGGGAGGCAGCAGUGGGGAGUAUUGCACAAUGGGCGGAAGCCUAAUGCAGCGACGCCGCGUGGGGGAUGAAGGCCUUCGGGUUGUAAAAUCCUUUCGACAGGGACGCGGUACCUGUAUGAGAAGCACCGGCUAACUACGUGCCAGCAGCCGCGGUAAUAC
rnacentral:rRNA from 1 species